rnacentral:rRNA from 1 species
CAGGCUUAACACAUGCAAGUCGAGGGGCAUCAGGAAGAAAGCUUGCUUUCUUUGCUGGCGACCGGCGCACGGGUGAGUAACACGUAUCCAACCUGCCCUUUACUCGGGGAUAGCCUUUCGAAAGAAAGAUUAAUACCCGAUGGCAUAAUGAUUCCGCAUGGUUUCAUUAUUAAAGGAUUCCGGUAAAGGAUGGGGAUGCGUUCCAUUAGGUUGUUGGUGAGGUAACGGCUCACCAAGCCUUCGAUGGAUAGGGGUUCUGAGAGGAAGGUCCCCCACAUUGGAACUGAGACACGGUCCAAACUCCUACGGGAGGCAGCAGUGAGGAAUAUUGGUCAAUGGGCGCUAGCCUGAACCAGCCAAGUAGCGUGAAGGAUGAAGGCUCUAUGGGUCGUAAACUUCUUUUAUAUAAGAAUAAAGUGCAGUAUGUAUACUGUUUUGUAUGUAUUAUAUGAAUAAGGAUCGGCUAACUCCGUGCCAGUAGCCGCGGUAAUACGGAGGAUCCGAGCGUUAUCCGGAUUUAUUGGGUUUAAAGGGAGCGUAGGUGGACUGGUAAGUCAGUUGUGAAAGUUUGCGGCUCAACCGUAAAAUUGCAGUUGAUACUGUCAGUCUUGAGUACAGUAGAGGUGGGCGGAAUUCGUGGUGUAGCGGUGAAAUGCUUAGAUAUCACGAAGAACUCCGAUUGCGAAGGCAGCUCACUGGACUGCAACUGACACUGAUGCUCGAAAGUGUGGGUAUCAAACAGGAUUAGAUACCCUGGUAGUCCACACAGUAAACGAUGAAUACUCGCUGUUUGCGAUAUACAGUAAGCGGCCAAGCGAAAGCAUUAAGUAUUCCACCUGGGGAGUACGCCGGCAACGGUGAAACUCAAAGGAAUUGACGGGGGCCCGCACAAGCGGAGGAACAUGUGGUUUAAUUCGAUGAUACGCGAGGAACCUUACCCGGGCUUAAAUUGCAGUGGAAUGAUGUGGAAACAUGUCAGUGAGCAAUCACCGCUGUGAAGGUGCUGCAUGGUUGUCGUCAGCUCGUGCCGUGAGGUGUCGGCUUAAGUGCCAUAACGAGCGCAACCCUUAUCUUUAGUUACUAACAGGUUAUGCUGAGGACUCUAGAGAGACUGCCGUCGUAAGACGUGAGGAAGGUGGGGAUGACGUCAAAUCAGCACGGCCCUUACGUCCGGGGCUACACACGUGUUACAAUGGGGGGUACAGAAGGCAGCUAGCGGGUGACCGUAUGCUAAUCCCAAAAGCCUCUCUCAGUUCGGAUCGAAGUCUGCAACCCGACUUCGUGAAGCUGGAUUCGCUAGUAAUCGCGCAUCAGCCACGGCGCGGUGAAUACGUUCCCGGGCCUUGUACACACCGCCCGUCAAGCCAUGGGAGCCGGGGGUACCUGAAGUACGUAACCGCAAGGAUCGUCCUAGGGUAAAACUGGUGACUGGGGCUAAGUCGU